GAACUCUGGUAGACCACUGUUAUUGUGUUGGAACCAGAAAUUUUAAAAUUAGUAAAAACAAAAAGAGAAAACACUCAGGAAUGUCAUAGGUUUGUGAUGAGAUAGGCCACUACCAAACAAUUUGAUAGGACCUUAAUACAUUGUUGUUAUAAUAGUCGUUUUUUAUUGCUAUUUUAUGCUCUAAUUUUUCUUCUUUUUUCAUUCUAAGAGCUUAUUCAAAUUGUUCAGGCCCAGGUUUUAGUAUUCAUUCAGGUAUUGUCAUGUCCUAUAUUACAAACCAUGGCUCAGAAGAACAGAUUAAGCACUUUAUUCCCCAGAUGACUGCAGGCAAAUGUAUUGGUGCAAUAGCAAUGACAGAGCCUGGAGCUGGAAGUGACUUACAGGGAAUAAAAACAAAUGCUAAAAAGGAUGGAAGUGACUGGAUUCUCAAUGGAAGCAAGGUGUGUAAAAAAGGACUUCUAUAGCCCUUCUUUUCAGAGUCAUGCCAUGGGUAACAAUGUCUCAAAGACAACUCAUUAAUUCUAUUAAAUCUAGGGACUCAGGCAGGAAUUGAAUUUAUCUAAGUUGUUUUGGAGACAGUAAAUUUACAACAUAUAUUACUUAAGAUCUGUGGUAGCUUCUUCUAUAUUUCAUUUUGCAUGCCCCCUCACUAAUAUGGCAAAGGUUGUUUUAGCUUCCAAACAGCCCUUAUUAAACCAGAAAAAGACAAGGUGAGGCUCACAUUGCCCAAAUGUGGGACAAAUAUUAAUAAUACUUAAACUUUAUGUUGAUAAAAGAUUGGGGGAAAAGCUUUCUCAUAUAGAUCAAGAAGAAUUUCAAAAGAUUCUAGGAGAAGGCCAGGCACAGUGGCUCACACCUGUAAUCGCAGCACUUUGGGAGGCUGAAGCAAGAGAUUGCUUGAGCCCAGAAGUUUGAGACCAACCUAGGCAACAAAGUGAGACCCUGUCUCUAUAAAAGUAAAAACUAAAAAAAUUAGCUGGGCAUGGUGGUGUGCCCUUUGGUCCCAGCUACUCACUCAGGAGGCUGAAGAGGGAGAAUCACUUGAGC
rnacentral:lncRNA from 1 species